CGGAUUAAUGAUAAAUCCAUGUUGUGAAUGAUGUUAAGCGGAUUAAUGAUAAAUCCAAGUGGUCAAUUUGAGACCCAGUACAAAAUAUUUCUUUAACAAGUCUAUACUUUUCACAGGUCCAUUUAAGAAGGUAUAUUUCCUCUAUGAGAAUGGCAAAAUCUUCUCUUAAAUAUCCAGUAAGUUGGAUGAAACGUCUACCAAAUCAUUACCAUAUAAUUUAUCUAAAUAUACACUUUGUUAUUCCUUUCUCUGACAGUGACAUAGUUCAUUUUGCGUCAUUCCGUGUUUAGCAAAGGGAGAUUAUAACACAGCUGCGCAACUUCGUU
rnacentral:lncRNA from 1 species